CUCGUAGGCGGUCUGUUGCGUCCGCUGUGAAAUCUCGGGGCUUAACCCCGGGCCUGCAGUGGAUACGGGCAGACUAGAGGUAGGUAGGGGAGAAUGGAAUUCCUGGUGUAGCGGUGAAAUGCGCAGAUAUCAGGAGGAACACCGGUGGCGAAGGCGGUUCUCUGGGCCUUACCUGACGCUGAGGAGCGAAAGCGUGGGGAGCGAACA
rnacentral:rRNA from 1 species